CCUUGAUGUAUGAUGCUAGGAUACCUACUAUCCCAAAUUUUUCCCAUAUGCUGCUUUUUAGUAAGGCAUCAGGAAAAAGAGAGACUAUUCACAAAAGUCAACACAGGUCUACUGGAAGCAUUAGGGUGUUACGUACCAUUUGAUGCACAUGCCCAAGUAAGGGAAGAACAUGGAAUUUCCAACCGCUGCCAUCUUUAACACAAAGAUGACAGCAAAGGGACAGAAAAUCAGCACAAAAUUGAAAGUGGUAAGCUGGACUGGUUACAGAGCCAUAAACGUUUGCGGGGGCUAUAGAGAGGCAUCCCUGGGUUGGGCACCAAAUUAGUGACAGAAUUGCUUUAACGUGGCUGGACAUUGUCUUGAUGGUGCAAUUUCUGGCACUCUACCUAAAAAGCAGAUGGGAUGUUAUGAAAAUUAAAAGAACCCUAGCACUGCUGUGUGAGUGUACAGUGACACUGAAGGAACGACCGAGUGCCAACAUGCUUAUACAGCAAUUCUCUAUAGAGGUGUGAAU